AGCAGUGUGGGCGAACUGUGGAGA
rnacentral:piRNA from 1 species